UACGGAGGAUCCAAGCGUUAUCCGGAAUCAUUGGGUUUAAAGGGUCCGUAGGCGGCCUUAUAAGUCAGUGGUGAAAUCUCCCGGCUCAACCGGGAAACGGCCAUUGAUACUGUAAGGCUUGAAUUAUUGGGAAGCAACUAGAAUAUGUAGUGUAGCGGUGAAAUGCUUAGAUAUUACAUGGAAUACCAAUUGCGAAGGCAGGUUGCUACCAAUACAUUGACGCUGAUGGACGAAAGCGUGGGUAGCGAACAGG
rnacentral:rRNA from 1 species